rnacentral:rRNA from 1 species
AUUGAACGCUGGCGGCAUGCUUUACACAUGCAAGUCGAACGGUAACAGGCCGCAAGGUGCUGACGAGAGGCGGACGGGUGAGGAAUAUUUGGGAAUCUGCCCAUCAGCGGGGGACAACCCGGGGAAACCCGGGCUAAUACCGCAUACGCUCUACGGAGGAAAGCCGGGGACCGCAAGGCCUGGCACUGAUGGAUGAGCCCAAAUCGGAUUAGCUAGUUGGCGGGGUAACGGCCCACCAAGGCGACGAUCCGUAGCUGGUCUGAGAGGACGAUCAGCCACACCGGAACUGAGACACGGUCCGGACUCCUACGGGAGGCAGCAGUGGGGAAUAUUGGACAAUGGGGGAAACCCUGAUCCAGCGACGCCGCGUGGGUGAAGAAGGCCUGCGGGUUGUAAAGCCCUUUCGGCAGGGACGAAAGCUCUUGCUCUAAUAAUGCAAGAGGUUGACUUAACCUACAUAAGAAGCACCGGCUAACUCUGUGCCAGCAGCCGCCGUAAAAC